CCCCCGCGCCCCUCUGCCCCGCGCCAUUUUGGUGCUUAUUAGAUAUGUCCUUGAGGGAAUUGGUUUGAUAGAAAAGAAGUUGAAGAAUAGAAUCUGUUGGAAGGGUUUGGAUGAAUCAGGAACUAAUUUGGAUAAUGAUCUUUCAGUUCUGAAGGUACUUAUUUCUGUAUGUUCAUCUUUCAAUUUCUGUAUGCUACUAACUUUGUGAUUGUGGAGUCUUGUUAGUAGUUGGGAGGUAGCUACUAACUUUGUGAUUAUGCUGUACAAAUGUAGUCCCAUGUGAACCAAGAUAAGAACAAGUUAAAGACUUAUGUAAACAUGUUUUUGGCAAUCUUUUGAACAAA